UGGUGAUAUACUGGGAUUUGAAUAUUACCUUAUUUUUUUCUGUUCUUCUGAUAAGUACUCUAACAAGGAGCAAAGUGAUCAAAUGUAAAACACUUAGACAAAGAAGAAAAUUCUGGAAAAGGAACACCCUGGGUCAUUUAUUUCUGAAUAACUGAGGGUUGGUACAUGUUCAUUACAUUUUCUGAAUGGUCUACAGGGACUCUUUUGUCUUUGGGUACACUAAGCCCACUGUUUGAAAUGCUCUCUAGUUUUAGGGAAACUCUGCUGGUUAAAUAAAAAUACAAGCUGAUUUCUCAGUUUAUAUAACAAAAAUAAUGUGUGCUGUCCCAGGUUCAGGUGUUCUGGGUUUUUAAAAAAUAUGCAGUAAAUUUGAUAAUUAACUUUUGGAUUAAGAAAGCAUGCAGGAUAUAGAACACACUUCAGGAAGAAAAAAAGGACGUGUGGUGUUAGCUGAAUGGGAAGGCUGCCCAGAACAUGUCCCCUGCUAUAAGAUUAGUUUGGGAAUUAGGGAUUUACAGUGCUUACCCCCAUCUAGAGGAGACUUGGCAAUAUUCCCUAGGACUGCAAAGAUAAAUUGGCGGGAGUGAAAGAAAUAAGUAAAGGCCAGGAGCUGCUGGAAAGCAAGCUUUCCUGUCACUAAGCCGUGAUGUUGUAAAGAGUUCUGAAGUCAACUUUGAGAUCCUAGCCUGGGGCAGAGAAAGACAGUUUCUACAUGGUAACAGCAACAGCAACUGGCCAGUUCUGUCUCCACAUGGUCAGCCUGAGAAACAUACUAUAAAGCUCCACUACCGAAGAGGAAGUGGAUCGUACCUAAGUGAUGGUGGGGUCAUCCACUCAGCUUCUUGCCCAAGAUCUCCAUGGCGUAUCAUCUCACAUAGUGUCCUGCAUCUGGCGGAGUCUUGAGAAUAAGGCUGGAUGAUGGUGAUAACGAGAAUGAAUGAAGAUGGUGAAAUCUGGAAUGGUCUAGUUGUCAAUAUUUUAAUGUAGCCAACAUAGGCACUUUUGAAGUGGCCUCCGAUGCGAAGGUGAGAUCAGAAAUACGCCUGUGGAACCCUCUACAUGCGGAUCUGGCAAGCAUUCAACACAAACGCAAUUAGAGGGCUUACCCUUGCAUGAAAUAUUUGCUUUCCUGAUAGUCACUAACUUUAAACUUUAGGAAUGCCAGGGCAUAGUGUUUCUGUAUCAGAACUAGAAUCCUCUACUUCACUUUCUUCAGCUAUUAUUUUUGAAGUUUGCAUAUCGUAUUAAAGUCCCACCAAACAAUAAAUAGGAAAGCAUGAUUUUAUUAAAAUCCUCUUGAGACAACCGCAUCUGCCCUGGCUAUUCUUUGAUCAGGGUCUGAGAGGUUGCAGCAUGCACACUCACCCAGAGGUACUUGAGAGCAUUGUUCACGUAUUCAAUGAAUAUUGAAUGCUAGAGUGAAUCUACACUGGGCUUAGAUCAGCAUAAAUCUCCACAACUCACCUUCAAUGGUGGACACAGGCAACUAACCAGG
rnacentral:lncRNA from 1 species